AUGAACGCUAGCUACAGGCUUAACACAUGCAAGUCGAGGGGCAGCAUUAUCGAAGCUUGCUUUGAUAGAUGGCGACCGGCGCACGGGUGAGUAACGCGUAUCCAACUUCCCCAUAGUCAGGAAUAGCCCGGCGAAAGUCGAAUUAAUGCCUGAUGUUUUCCACGGACGGCAUCUGAUGUGGAACAAAGAUUCAUCGCUAUGGGAUGGGGAUGCGUCUGAUUAGCUUGUUGGUGAGGUAACGGCUCACCAAGGCGACGAUCAGUAGGGGUUCUGAGAGGAAGGUCCCCCACAUUGGAACUGAGACACGGUCCAAACUCCUACGGGAGGCAGCAGUGAGGAAUAUUGGUCAAUGGGCGAGAGCCUGAACCAGCCAAGUAGCGUGCAGGAAGACGGCCCUAUGGGUUGUAAACUGCUUUUAUAGGGGAAUAAAGUGAGCCACGUGUGGUUUUUGCAUGUACCCUAUGAAUAAGGACCGGCUAAUUCCGUG
rnacentral:rRNA from 1 species